rnacentral:snRNA from 1 species
GUACUUACCUGGCAGGGGAGAUACCAUGAUCACGAAGGUGGUUUUCCAGGGUGAGGCUUAUCCAUUGCAUUCCAGAUGUGUUGACCCCUGCGAUUUCCCCAAAUGGGGGAAACAUGACUGCAUAAUUUGUGGUAUUGGGGACUGUGUUUGUGCUCUCGCCUG